GACGAACGCUGGCGGCGUGCCUAAUACAUGCAAGUAGAACGCUGAAGGAGGAGCUUGCUUCUCCGGAUGAGUUGCGAACGGGUGAGUAACGCGUAGGUAACCUGCCUGGUAGCGGGGGAUAACUAUUGGAAACGAUAGCUAAUACCGCAUAAGAGUAGAUGUCGCAUGACAUUUGCUUAAAAGGUGCAACUGCACCACUACCAGAUGGACCUGCGUUGUAUUAGCUAGUUGGUGAGGUAACGGCUCACCAAGGCAACGAUACAUAGCCGACCUGAGAGGGGGAUCGGCCACACUGGGACUGAGACACGGCCCAGACGCCUACGGGAGGCAGCAGUAGGGAAUCUUCGGCAAUGGACGGAAGUCUGACCGGGCAACGCCGCGUGAGUGAAGAAGGGUUUCGGAUCGUAAAGCUCUGUUGUAAGAGAAGAACGAGUGUGAGAGUGGAAAGUUCACACUGUGACGGUAUCUUACCAGAAAGGGACGGCUAACUACGUG
rnacentral:rRNA from 1 species